rnacentral:rRNA from 1 species
GAGCGAAUGGAUUGAGAGCUUGCUCUCAAGAAGUUAGCGGCGGACGGGUGAGUAACACGUGGGUAACCUGCCCAUAAGACUGGGAUAACUCCGGGAAACCGGGGCUAAUACCGGAUAAUAUUUUGAACUGCAUGGUUCGAAAUUGAAAGGCGGCUUCGGCUGUCACUUAUGGAUGGACCCGCGUCGCAUUAGCUAGUUGGUGAGGUAACGGCUCACCAAGGCAACGAUGCGUAGCCGACCUGAGAGGGUGAUCGGCCACACUGGGACUGAGACACGGCCCAGACUCCUACGGGAGGCAGCAGUAGGGAAUCUUCCGCAAUGGACGAAAGUCUGACGGAGCAACGCCGCGUGAGUGAUGAAGGCUUUCGGGUCGUAAAACUCUGUUGUUAGGGAAGAACAAGUGCUAGUUGAAUAAGCUGGCACCUUGACGGUACCUAACCAGAAAGCCACGGCUAACUACGUGCCAGCAGCCGCGGUAAUACGUAGGUGGCAAGCGUUAUCCGGAAUUAUUGGGCGUAAAGCGCGCGCAGGUGGUUUCUUAAGUCUGAUGUGAAAGCCCACGGCUCAAC